rfam:Triticum aestivum genome assembly, contig: Triticum_aestivum_CS42_TGACv1_scaffold_308222_4AS
AUACUACUCCCUCCGUCCGAAAAUACUUGUCAUCAAAAUGUAUAAAUAGGGAUGUAUCUAGAACUAAAAUAUGUCUAGAUACAUCUCCGUUUAUCCAUUUUGAUGACAAGUAUUUCCGGACGGAGGGAGUACCAU